rnacentral:rRNA from 1 species
GACAUAGGUGGCGAACGUUAUCCGGAAUUAUUGGGCGUAAAGGGCGCGUAGGCGGCCUGGCAAGUGGAAGGUGAAAUCCCUCGGCUUAACCGAGGAACUGCCCUCCAAACUGCUUGGCUUGAGUCCGGGAGAGGUGAGUGGAAUUCCCAGUGUAGCGGUGAAAUGCGUAGAUACUGGGAGGAACACCAGUGGCGAAGGCGGCUACCUGGACCGGUUCUGACGCUGAGGCGCGAAAGCGUGGGUAGCAAACAGG